rnacentral:rRNA from 1 species
UACAGAGGGUGCUAGCGUUGUUCGGAAUCAUUGGGCGUAAAGGGCGCGUAGGCGGCCUGCUAAGUCGGAUGUGAAAUCCCUCGGCUCAACCGAGGAACUGCAUCCGAUACUGGCGGGCUUGAAUCCGGGGGAGGGAUGUGGAAUUCCAGGUGUAGCGGUGAAAUGCGUAGAUAUCUGGAGGAACACCGGUGGCGAAGGCGGCAUCCUGGACCGGCAUUGACGCUGAGGCGCGAAAGCUAGGGGAGCAAACGGG